rnacentral:misc_RNA from 1 species
UACGAAGGACCCGAGCGUUAAUCGGAAUCACUGGGCUUAAAGGGUGCGUAGGCGGAGGCGUAAGUGUCUUGUGAAAUCCCACUGCUCAACGGUGGAAUUGCAGGGCAUACUGCGUCUCUUGAGGCCAGUAGGGGUCGCCGGAACUCUAGGUGUAGCGGUGAAAUGCGUAGAUAUCUAGAGGAACACCGAUGGUGAAGACAGGCGACUGGGCUGGUUCUGACGCUGAGGCACGAAAGCGUGGGUAGCAAACAGG